GGCUCAGGAUGAACGCUGGCGGCGUGCCUAACCCGUGUAAGUCGAGCGAUCCCGUUAGCAAUAAUGGGAGAGCGGCGGAAGGGUGAGUAACACGUAGGAGACCUACCUCAUCGCCGGGAACAACUUCGCGAAAGCGGAGCUAAUACCCAGAAGGCUCGUGGAUUCACUUCUACGAGGAGAGUGCCUCCGAAAGGGGGUGCGUGAUGAGAGGGUCCUGCGGCCCAUCAGCUCGUUGGCAGGGUAACGGCCUACCAAGGCAACGACGGGUAGGGGGUCUGAGAGGACGAUCCCCCACACUGGAGCUGAAACACGGUCCAGACGCCUACGGGUGGCAGCAGGGAGGAAUAUUGCACAAUGGGCGCAAGCCCGAUGCAGCAACGCCGCGUGAAGGAUGAAGGCCUUCGGGUCGUAAACUUCUUUUGAGGGAGACGAGCAAGGACGGUAUCCCUCGAAUCAGCCACGGCUAACUACGUGCCAGCAGCCGCGGUAAAACGUAGGUGGCGAGCGUUAUCCGGAUUCAUUGGGCGUAAAGAGCUUGUAGGCGGCGUCAUAAGUUGGACGUGAAAACUCCGGGCUUAACUUGGAGAGGCCGUUCAAUACUGUGAGGCUGGAGGGUGUCAGAGGGAAGUAGAAUUCCUGGUGUAGCAGUGAAAUGCGUAGAUAUCAGGAGGAAUACCCGUGGCGAAGGCGGCUUCCUGGGACACAUCUGACGCUGAGAAGCGAAAGCUAGGGGAGCAAACGGGAUUAGAAACCCCGGUAGUCCUAGCCGUAAACGAUGGAUGCUAGGUGUAAGCAGAUCUAACCCUGCGUGUGCCGAAGCUAACGCGUUAAGCAUCCCGCCUGGGAACUACGAGCG
rnacentral:rRNA from 1 species